GGGCUUGGGCUUAGAAACUGUUAAGCAACUCUUGGAGAACUCCUGUCAAAAACAUAUUUUUGCUACCUGUCGUGACCCAGAUGGACCAAAGUCUGAGGCAUUGAGAGAACUGGCGAGAAAGCAUCCAAGUGUGAUCACUAUCAUACGUCUUGAUGUUGAUGAUCCGUGCAGUAUCAAAGAGUCUGCCAAAAAAGUGGGAUCUCUACUGGGAAACAAUGGUUUGAACCUGCUUGUGAAUAAUGC